rnacentral:ncRNA from 2 species
UAAUUGAGUAACCUCUCGGAUGCCCGCAAGGGCGUAACAGGGAAGUCCGGUGAGAAACCGGCGCGGUCCCGCCACUGUAAGUGGGAAGCAACCUCCAUUCAAGCCACUCGACGAACUCGUCGCGGAAGGCGGGAGGAAGCGUUGAAGGUCUUUUGACCUUCAGAACCUACGAGCCAGGAGACCUAUCCGAGGUGACAGAGCACU